UUUGAUUUUUUUAAAAUUUAUUGUAAAUAAAUUUAUAAUUAUCAAAUU
rnacentral:tRNA from 1 species